rnacentral:rRNA from 1 species
GACGAACGCUGGCGGCGUGCCUAAUACAUGCAAGUAGAACGCUGAAGGAGGAGCUUGCUUCUCUGGAUGAGAUGCGAACGGGUGAGUAACGCGUAGGUAACCUGCCUGGUAGCGGGGGAUAACUAUUGGAAACGAUAGCUAAUACCGCAUAAGAGUAGAUGUUGCAUGACAUUUGCUUAAAAGGUGCAAAUGCAUCACUACCAGAUGGACCUGCGUUGUAUUAGCUAGUUGGUGGGGUAACGGCUCACCAAGGCGACGAUACAUAGCCGACCUGAGAGGGUGAUCGGCCACACUGGGACUGAGACACGGCCCAGACUCCUACGGGAGGCAGCAGUAGGGAAUCUUCGGCAAUGGACGGAAGUCUGACCGAGCAACGCCGCGUGAGUGAAGAAGGUUUUCGGAUCGUAAAGCUCUGUUGUAAGAGAAGAACGAGUGUGAGAGUGGAAAGUUCACACUGUGACGGUAUCUUACCAGAAAGGGACGGCUAACUACGUGCCAGCAGCCGCGGUAAUACGUAGGUCCCGAGCGUUGUCCGGAUUUAUUGGGCGUAAAGCGAGCGCAGGCGGUUAGAUAAGUCUGAAGUUAAAGGCUGUGGCUUAACCAUAGUAGGCUUUGGAAACUGUUUAACUUGAGUGCAAGAGGGGAGAGUGGAAUUCCAUGUGUAGCGGUGAAAUGCGUAGAUAUAUGGAGGAACACCGGUGGCGAAAGCGGCUCUCUGGCUUGUAACUGACGCUGAGGCUCGAAAGCGUGGGGAGCAAACAGG